rnacentral:lncRNA from 10 species
UAGAAUAAUAAUCUCUUUUGCAUCACUGAGGUGAGGAGGGGCAGACAGGAAGGUUGCAGUUCUCAAGGGAGCAAGGCUUUUCUAAAACUUCAUUUGAUGCCGUCCGUGAAUUUUACUCGGUUCUAACAAACAUUUCUUCAGUGUCUACAAUGUACCAAAUCCCACAUGAGGAAGAGGUCAGGAGAUCAAGACCAUCCUGGCCAACAUGCACAUGCCACCAUGCCCAGCUAAUUUUUAAAAUUUUUUUGUAAAGGUAUGGUCUUACUGUGUUGCCCAGGCUACUCUUCAACUCCUGGU